GGUGGACCACCUGACCGGAGAGAGAUUGAUCAAACCAGAUUGUGUGCUUGAUUAUAACCUCAAAAUGGGGGCUGUGGAUAAGGCAGACAUGAUAAACAGCUUUGUGGAAUGCACUCGGGAAAACGACCAAGUGGUAUAAGAAGAUAUUUUUUCCAUCUGAUCGACACUGCUGUCCUCAACGGCAGCAUAGUUCACCGCCAACUAACAGGUAAAGUAAUUACCUACCAAAAAUACAGAGAGAACCUCAUGAGAGAGCUGCUGGAGGAGCACCACACCCCUCGGCGCCCAUCCACUGGGGGCCGUCCUGCUGCAGACAAUCCCCUACGCCUCACUGCACGGCAUUUUCCCUGCAAAGUCCCUCAAACUGCUUCUCAAGGUAGUCGCACGCGGAGGCAUUGCAAAGUCUGCCUGUCUGGCGCCAGGAGAAGUAAGCAGAGGAAGAUGACAAAAUACAUGUGUCUAGCUUGUGAUUACACCUCUAUGUAUUUCACCAUGCUUUGAGGAGUAUCACAUGCUCAAGCAUUAUUGAGCACAUCUGCAGCAAUAAGUGACUGACUGACCUUGACAGGUGACCAGCCAUGAUACUAUGCCUUUAGAGAUGGGGGUGGAAAUGCAGUUGUUGUUCAGUCACUGCAUGGAUAUUAAAUAUGUGUUAUGCAUAUUCCGUUUUUUGUCCUCUAGUAAAACAAGUUGUUGAACUACCAAUACUGCAAUAAAAUAGAUGAAUAUUA